UAAAAAUCUAUUAAAAUCCAUUGUAAAUCUAUUUCCUGCGAAAUUUGUUUUUUGCGGGAAAAAUCUUUUUUAAAACAAAUAUUAUGGCAGAAAAUGUUUUUUUGAAAUUUUUUGGCGGAAAAUUUUUUUCAGAAUAUUAUAGGCGGGAAAAAUCAAUAUUUCAUUUUUUUACCUAAAACAUAUUUUAAAUAGGGGUAAAUAGUCAUUAAAAAUUAAAAAAGGGUAUAAAUGAAAAUAACAAAUAAGAAAGGGCAAUACUGAAAAGGGAUUGUGUUGAAAGGGCAUUCAUACCAAUUAUUCAAAGUUUUUGGCGUUUCUGUGAGAUGUACUUUGCAUAUUUUCCAAGUUGUUUGCCCAUUCUAAAAAUUUAUUUGUAUGAUUCAGAGUACAUCUUUAAAUUACUGUAGAUAACAAACUUUCUGAAAUUUACUUUAGAUAACAAACUUUAGAGUAAUUUCUAGCUUACCACAAUUCUAUAUACAUUGACAAUAUAUUACUGUAUUUUAAAAGUACAAUCACUUAAAACUAUUGCAAAACUUCAUAUUUUAAGAACAAAGUAAGCUAGAAAUUAUUCUUAGUAAAAAGAAACAAUGAGAGUAAGAGAAAUUAAUUCGCCAAAAUAAAAACAAAACUUAGAAAUACAAAAUAUUAUAUUACAUGCCCCCUCGUAUUACAUGGAUAGAUUUUUUUCUUUUUUUUGUCAUCAGAUAUUAUUUAGGAUCAGACGUACCAAACUUUGGAUAAGAAAAAAUAUUUUUAUAUAGAUAAUAAUGAAUUACCUGGUCAAUUAAUUGAUAAGAGAUUUCCUGGAUGUUAUUUAGAAUUAAUUAGUCCACCAAAGUGAUAAGAAUCCUAGUGUCUAUAGAAUCACCUUUCUUUGCUAUAUAAACAUCCUUUGAGCAAACAAAUUAAACAAACCACACAAAACAAAAA
rnacentral:sRNA from 1 species